GUGGGGAAUAUUGGACAAUGGGGGGAACCCUGAUCCAGCCAUGCCGCGUGUGUGAAGAAGGCCUUUUGGUUGUAAAGCACUUUAAGCGAGGAGGAGGCUACCGAGAUUAAUACUCUUGGAUAGUGGACGUUACUCGCAGAAUAAGCACCGGCUAACUCUGUGCCAGCAGCCGCGGUAAUACAGAGGGUGCAAGCGUUAAUCGGAUUUACUGGGCGUAAAGCGCGCGUAGGGGGUCAAUUAAGUCAAAUGUGAAAUCCCCGAGCUUAACUUGGGAAUUGCAUUCGGUACUGGUUGGCUAGAGUAUGGGAGAGGAUGGUAGAAUUCCAGGUGUAGCGGUGAAAUGCGUCGAGAUCUGGAGGAAUACCGAUGGCGAAGGCAGCCAUCUGGCCUAAUACUGACACUGAGGUGCGAAAGCAUGGGGAGCAAACAGGAUUAGAAACCCGAGUAGUCC
rnacentral:rRNA from 1 species